CUCAGGGUGUCGGGUCGGUCCUCAGGGGAGGUGACCUGAGGUAGCAACAUGCCUGCUGCAGCUCCAGCCAUCACAUCCUGUCUUGACAAUUUCCAGAGAAAGAGAAAAGGCACUGCCAAUGGCCAUCAACAUAUCCCAAGACAGAGCUCCAACAGAAAUGAGCCCUCACCGCCUUGGAAGGAUUCAUCACUUCUGCUUCCAUUUUGGACACCUUUAGUUGAUGUGUCUCCGGUUUGAACAGGGUCUCAAGAAGGUGCAGGCCGUGAGCUAGCUGCUUUAGUAGAAAAGGCUGUUUGGAGGACGGCAUUGGUCUGGCUCCAUGGAAACCUUUGAAACUGCAGAAGAAUCCCUCCCACUGCCCCAGCCUGACAUGGUAAAGAUUUCUCAUUCGGUAAUUGCAGUGAACCCAGAAGAAGGGGUGAUGGUGAGAGGGGAGAGGUCAAUUAAGG